UCUUCCAGUAUGGGGAGCAAAACAGCUAUGGGUCAAGUCCGAUAUCUUUAGGAGAAGUCUUAUUGUGAGGGCGAGUUAUAUAACACCAUAGGACUGGCCGUCCCAUAUGAAAAGAUUAUAUUAGAAUUGAAUGAAGCUUUGUUUAUAUAUUGAUAAUGACAGUAUAUAUAUCGUGUCUUGACUAAUUGCGUGCCAGCAGUCGCGGUAAUACGUAAGAGACUAGUGUUAUUCAUCUUAAUUAGGUUUAAAGGGUACCCAGACGGUCAAUAUAGCUUAUAAAAUGUUAGUACUUGACUAGAGUUUUAUGUAAGAGGGCAGUACUUGAGGAGGAGAGAUGAAAUUUCGUGAUACCAAAGGGACUCUGUAAAGGCGAAGGCAGCCCUCUAUGUAAAAACUGACGUUGAAGGACGAAGGCACAGAGAACAAACAGGAUUAGAUACCCAAGUAGUCUUUGCAGUAAAUGAUGAAUGCCAUAGGUUAGAUUGGUCAAUUAUAGUCUAGGGUUAGUCUAGCAAACUAAUACCCUAUGCUAUAAUCCUAUAUCUGGUCUAUAAAUGAAAGUGUAAGCAUUUCACCUCAAGAGUAAUGUGGCAACGCAGGAACUGAAAUCACUAGACCGUUUCUGACACCAGUAGUGAAG
rnacentral:rRNA from 1 species